rnacentral:rRNA from 1 species
AUUGAACGCUGGCGGCAGGCCUAACACAUGCAAGUCGAGCGGAUGAGUGGAGCUGGCUCCAUGAUUCAGCGGCGGACGGGUGAGUAAUGCCUAGGAAUCUGCCUGGUAGUGGGGGACAACGUUUCGAAAGGAACGCUAAUACCGCAUACGUCCUACGGGAGAAAGUGGGGGAUCUUCGGACCUCACGCUAUCAGAUGAGCCUAGGUCGGAUUAGCUAGUUGGUGAGGUAAAGGCUCACCAAGGCGACGAUCCGUAACUGGUCUGAGAGGAUGAGCAGUCACACUGGAACUGGGACACGGUCCAGACUCCUACGGGAGGCAGCAGUGGGGAAUAUUGGACAAUGGGCGAAAGCCUGAUCCAGCCAUGCCGCGUGUGUGAAGAAGGUCUUCGGAUUGUAAAGCACUUUAAGUUGGGAGGAAGGGCAGUAAGUUAAUACCUUGCUGUUUUGACGUUACCAACAGAAUAAGCACCGGCUAACUUCGUGCCAGCCGCCGCCGUAACAC